GGGUGCGAUCACACCAGCACUAAUGCACCGGA
rnacentral:rRNA from 1 species